GUUAACAGCCGUGUGCCGAGUCUGUUGGCAGUUAGGCGGCUGCCAUCUUAGGAGGAUGGGGAGAGUGGAACAGGACCUUGGAGCAGAUUUGGUGGUGUACCUGGGAACCAAAGGAGGCUCCUAAUCUGAUCUUUAGUAAAUCAGCUGGUGGGCAGUGAGGAGGAAGAGGCACAUUAUCAGAGUCCAGCAGCUGACAAAGAGAGUGUCUAUGGAGUGACUGCCCCUCACACUCCAAGAGACUAUCGAUACUGACGGAGAAAACGCAUGGAAAUGCCGAGACAGAACGGUUAUUCAUAGGGAAUGAAUUAUACUGUUGUUCAUACCAAGACUGCAGUGGCUAGUACAGGAAAUGAUUUGUGCAGGACCCACAUAAUCAGCUGCUUAAUCUACUGUUUCUUGUAAUUACAACCUCUCUUUAGCUACUGUUUGGUAGCAAUGGCAUAAAAGACAGAGUAAGAUGUAUCAAUUAAAAGAAUGGGAGGAAAUCCAAUACUACAAAGAAA